UUAAGUUGUUAUUAUUAUUAUUAUCUUUUAUUAAAAAAAAAAUCCCUCUCUCUUCCUCACAUCGCCUGAAACCCCACCCUCGCGUGCCGCCAGCCGCCCAGCUACCGAUCUGCUCUCAAAUCAUGUCGUUCGCCGUUCAGGGGUUUCGGCCGACCAGAUCUCGCCAGUCACCCCACGCCGCUCACCGUCGCGUCGCCCCUUCCAGUUGAUCACUCCGUCCAACCGAGCCGCUCGUCCAAAUCCCCUCUACUCGUGCGUCCGCCGCCCCAGCCGCGAAGUUGCCUCGCGCCACCGCCUCUCCCUGCGUCGUCUGCUCGAGCCACGCCAUGCCUCCAGUUGCACGCCACCAUUCGUUCAAAUCUGCCUGCGCUGUUCCGAUUCGCCCUUACAGCCAUUGUCCGCCGGCGUAGCAGCUACUAGUUAUCGGUUCAUCCUUCUCCGCUGCCUUUCCGUGGGGUUUUCGUCGGAAACUUGUAAUCUGGGCUUGGAUUGAGCUUUCGAGGUGUCAGGAACCACUGUCCAGUAAGAUUAGAGUUUGGCUUUAGGGAAUUUUGGAGCGUGAAUGGUAGGUAAUGUGAACUUGGAGCUCUUUGGAAUGGAUUAAUAUGCUGGAAAUUUGGUUUUAAAUUCCUAAUUUUGGGUUAUGAAUAGAUUGGUAUCUCUAUGCUAAGCUUGGAACAAAUUUAUGGAUUAUCACAUAUUUUGGGUAAGAUGUUUUGUGGCGUUUGAGGUAUUUUUGUAUUUGGAAUUUAGUUCUAAAUGUCGGACUUAAUUUUUAUUUUUGAUUUAGGGUGUGAUUCGAGAAUUUUACUAAGUUAAAGGAGGGUGUGGAUUACUUUUUGUUAGAUUUGUCAUCAAGGUAAAGGUAGAGAUGCACUGGUGAUUGACAAACAGAAUCCGUGAUCGAGCCACUGGGACCAGUUUUAUGCUUCCGCUCAUGAGAUUUAGAUUUCUUUUCAUGUUUUGCUUAACUUUCAGUUUUGAUGUUUGAAAUUUAUUAUAAAGAAUUGUUUUUCGACUCAUUUAUCAACAUUUAUGAUUUAUGGGUGCCUUAUUGUUUGUUUUUAAUAUUUAAAUUUAAUGAAGGACUUUUGAACUUACAUUAUUUAUUUAGCAUUUAUUUCACAAAAAAAAAAUGGCGUCGUUUUAAGUUCCAUGCAUGCAUGUAUUUAGUAACGGUCUAACUUGAGUGCUAGGAGGUCGGGUCAUUACAUCACAUCAAUUAGCACUCUCCAUCCACUUAGGCUUAGAAUAAAAUAAAACCUCGUGAAGCUCACUAUAUUUUUAGUCUUUCAUGUCUAAUUUCCUUUGGAUUAUGCCAUUGAGACUCGUUCUUUUAUGGUGGUAAUUUUUGAAUGAUGGUUCACUUUACUGAACGCAUGUCGUCUGGUGAAAGACAUCGUGAUUCUUGUAGAUAGAGGUCGACUAAUAAAAGAUGGACUUGGAUUUCUUGUGGAAAAGUCAUUGGUUGGCCCUUUUGUAGGUCGUGGGCCAAGUUUAGAUGACAACAUGAUUCUUCCUAAAUUAUCAACAAAAGUGCCUUUGACUCAGGGGAAAAACGUGUGGAUCUUACAAUCUUCUAUUCACGAUGAGGCCCCUAAUCCUGAUCAAGUUUUAACUCUCGAACUUUGUAUAAAUGAGGGUCAGACUUGCUAGAACGUCAUAAUGAAUGUCCUUGGGGAAUUUAGCUUUACUGAUUUCUACUGGGAGUGGCUUGAGUUCGUAGUAGAUUGAAACGAGUGAUUCCUUUAUGAUGUUUGUUUAUUUGGUGCAAUGGUGGCUUUUCUGCACAUAUAUGAUCGUAAUAGUGAUGUAGUUCAAGCCUUUUGCUAGGCUUGGUGUCUUAUUGACUUUGAUCUUAGUUUAUUGUUAGCUUGAUCUCAGUGUUCCAUUGGCUUCGAUCUCAGUCUGCAACCUGAGGAUUCCAUCAACUUUGGCUUAAGUUCUUGAGUUGAGUGUUCCGUCGACUUCGAGCUUAGUGUUUUAUCGGCUUUGAUUCCAGUGUUCUAGUGACUUUGACCUUGGUGUUCUACUAGCUUUGAUCUCAGAUGAUGUAGAGCUAGAAAAGACCAAACCUGAUCUCGUAGGUAAGGCGAAGUUAGGCAAACCAGUUACAGAGCUAGGUAAACCGAACUUGCUCAUGCAGUUAAGUGAAGCACGAUAAAUCAAAUUUGAUCAUGCAGAUGAGGCAAAGCCAGACAACCAGACUUGAUCUCAAAGAUAAGAAAGUGGAGGAUCUCAUAUUGAAGGGAACCAUGAGCGGAAGCAAGAUCAACCCAUUUCCCUUUUUCAUUGAAUGUAUUCAAACAGAAUACGAACACAACCACAAUGGUUUCCUCGGUAUUCUCAGGUAGAUAACCCAGGAGUGAUGGGCUCUGACUAUUUUGGAAUGAGGAAAAUUAGAUGAGCGUAGAGGAAGAAGUUUGUAGAUCGUUUAC